rnacentral:rRNA from 1 species
UACGUAGGGGGCAAGCGUUGUCCGGAAUCAUUGGGCGUAAAGAGCGUGUAGGCGGCCCGAUAAGUCCGCCGUGAAAGUCCAGGGCUCAACCCUGGGAUGCCGGCGGAAACUGUCGGGCUAGAGUCCGGAAGAGGCGAGUGGAAUUCCUGGUGUAGCGGUGAAAUGCGCAGAUAUCAGGAGGAACACCAAUGGCGAAGGCAGCUCGCUGGGACGGUACUGACGCUGAGGUGCGAAAGCGUGGGGAGCAAACAGG